UACAGAGGGGGCAAGCGUUGUUCGGAAUUACUGGGCGUAAAGGGCGCGUAGGCGGCCUUCUAAGUCGAACGUGAAAUCCCCGGGCUCAACCCGGGAACUGCGUCCGAUACUGGAAGGCUUGAAUCCGGGAGAGGGAUGCGGAAUUCCAGGUGUAGCGGUGAAAUGCGUAGAUAUCUGGAGGAACACCGGUGGCGAAGGCAGCUCGCUGGGACGUUACUGACGCUGAGACGCGAAAGCGUGGGGAGCAAACAGG
rnacentral:rRNA from 1 species